UACGUAGGGGGCAAGCGUUGUCCGGAAUCAUUGGGCGUAAAGAGCGUGUAGGCGGCCUGGUAAGUCCGCUGUGAAAGUCCAGGGCUCAACCCUGGAAUGCCGGUGGAUACUGUCGGGCUCGAGUCCGGAAGAGGAGUGUGGAAUUCCUGGUGUAGCGGUGAAAUGCGCAGAUAUCAGGAAGAACACCCGUGGCGAAGGCGGCUCUCUGGGACGGUACUGACGCUGAGACGCGAAAGCGUGGGGAGCGAACAGG
rnacentral:rRNA from 1 species